rnacentral:rRNA from 1 species
UACGAAGGGGGCUAGCGUUGCUCGGAAUCACUGGGGCGUAAAGCGCACGUAGGCGGUGACAUAAGUCGGAUGUGAAAUCCCUCGGCCUAACCGAGGAACUGCGUCCGAUACCGUGUUGCUUGAGGACCAGAGGGGUGCAUGGAAUUUCCGGUGGGAGCGGUGAAAUGCGUUGAUAUCGGAAGGAACUCCGGCGGCGAAAGCGAUGCACUGGCUGGUUUCUGACGCUGAGGUGCGAAAGCCAGGGGAGCAAACGGG